rnacentral:rRNA from 1 species
UACGAAGGGUGCAAGCGUUAAUCGGAAUUACUGGGCGUAAAGCGCGCGUAGGUGGUUCAGUAAGUUGGAAGUGAAAUCCCCGGGCUCAACCUGGGAACUGCUUUCAAAACUGCUGAGCCAGAGUACGGUAGAGGGUGGUGGAAUUUCCUGUGUAGCGGUGAAAUGCGUAGAUAUAGGAAGGAACACCAGUGGCGAAGGCGACCACCUGGACUGAUACUGACACUGAGGUGCGAAAGCGUGGGGAGCGAACGGG